GAUGAACGCUGGCGGCGUGCCUAAUACAUGCAAGUCGAGCGAACAGACGAGGAGCUUGCUCCUCUGACGUUAGCGGCGGACGGGUGAGUAACACGUGGAUAACCUACCUAUAAGACUGGGAUAACUUCGGGAAACCGGAGCUAAUACCGGAUAAUAUAUUGAACCGCAUGGUUCAAUAGUGAAAGACGGUUCUGCUGUCACUUAUAGAUGGAUCCGCGCCGCAUUAGCUAGUUGGUAAGGUAACGGCUUACCAAGGCGACGAUGAGUAGCCGACCUGAGAGGGUGAUCGGCCACACUGGAACUGAGACACGGGCCAGACUCCUACGGGAGGCAGCAGUAGGGAAUCUUCCGCAAUGGGCGAAAGCCUGACGGAGCAACGCCGCGUGAGUGAUGAAGGUCUUCGGAUCGUAAAACUCUGUUAUUAGGGAAGAACAAAUGUGUAAGUAACUAUGCACGUCUUGACGGUACCUAAUCAGAAAGCCACGGCUAACUCCGUG
rnacentral:rRNA from 1 species